AGAGUUUGAUCCUGGCUCAGAUUGAACGCUGGCGGCAUGCCUAACACAUGCAAGUCGAACGGGUUGUAGCAAUACAGCUAGUGGCGGACGGGUGAGGAAUACAUAGGAAUUUGCCUUUAGGUGGGGGAUAGUCCGGGGAAACUCGGUUUAAUACCGCAUGAUGUCGCAAGACCAAAGCAGGGGAUCGUAAGACCUUGCGCCUUUAGAGAAGCCUAUGUCGGAUUAGCUAGUUGGUAGGGUAAUGGCCUACCAAGGCGACGAUUCGUAACUGGUCUGAGAGGACGAUCAGUCACACCGGAACUGAGACACGGUCCGGACUCCUACGGGAGGCAGCAGUGGGGAAUAUUGGACAAUGGGCGAAAGCCUGAUCCAGCAAUGCCGCGUGUGUGAAGAAGGCCUUCGGGUUGUAAAGCACUUUAGGCUGGGAAGAAAAAAUUUCGUCUAAUACACGAAGUCUUGACGGUACCAGCGGAAUAAGCACCGGCUAACUCUGUGCCAGCAGCCGCGGUAAUACAGAGGGUGCUAGCGUUAAUCGGAUUUACUGGGCGUAAAGGGUGUGUAGGCGGUUUGUUAAGUCGGAUGUGAAAGCCCUGGGCUCAACCUAGGAAUUGCAUUCGAUACUGGCAAGCUAGAGUACGGUAGAGGGUGGCGGAAUUCCGGGUGUAGCGGUGAAAUGCGUAGAUAUCCGGAGGAACACCGAUGGCGAAGGCAACCACCUGGGCCUGUACUGACGCUGAGACACGAAAGCGUGGGGAGCAAACAGGAUUAGAUACCCCGGUAGUCC
rnacentral:rRNA from 1 species